rnacentral:rRNA from 1 species
UACAGAGGAGCCAAGCGUUGUCCGGAUUGACUGGGCGUAAAGCGCACGCAGGCGGAUGCGCGCGUGGGGUGUGAAAUCUGGCCGCUUAACGGCCAGGCGCCAUCCCAUACGGCGCGACUGGAGUGAUGCAGAGGUCGAUGGAAUUGCCGGUGUAGUGGUGAAAUGCGUAGAUAUCGAGAGGAACACCUGCGGCGAAGGCGGGUUGCUGGGCUGACACUGACGCUGAUGCGCGAAAGCUAGGGGAGCGAACGGG